ACAUGCAAGUCGAACGGUAACAGGAAGCAGCUUGCUGCUUCGCUGACGAGUGGCGGACGGGUGAGUAAUGUCUGGGAAACUGCCUGAUGGAGGGGGAUAACUACUGGAAACGGUAGCUAAUACCGCAUAACGUCGCAAGACCAAAGAGGGGGACCUUCGGGCCUCUUGCCAUCGGAUGUGCCCAGAUGGGAUUAGCUAGUAGGUGGGGUAACGGCUCACCUAGGCGACGAUCCCUAGCUGGUCUGAGAGGAUGACCAGCCACACUGGAACUGAGACACGGUCCAGACUCCUACGGGAGGCAGCAGUGGGGAAUAUUGCACAAUGGGCGCAAGCCUGAUGCAGCCAUGCCGCGUGUAUGAAGAAGGCCUUCGGGUUGUAAAGUACUUUCAGCGGGGAGGAAGGGAGUAAAGUUAAUACCUUUGCUCAUUGACGUUACCCGCASAAGAAGCACCGGCUAACUCCGUGCCAGCAGCCGCGGUAAUACGGAGGGUGCAAGCGUUAAUCGGAAUUACUGGGCGUAAAGCGCACGCAGGCGGUUUGUUAAGUCAGAUGUGAAAUCCCCGGGCUCAACCUGGGAACUGCAUCUGAUACUGGCAAGCUUGAGUCUCG
rnacentral:rRNA from 1 species